UUCAAAACUGAACCGAAAAUGCAAGACUUGCUUUAAUUGUUUUCCUUCAAUUUCUUUCUGUAUUAUUUACUAUAAUGGAACUCAUGUUAUUUACACUGUGCUAGAUCAAACAUUAAACACUGACAGAAAACAAUUAAAGCAAGUCUUGCAUUUUCGGUUCAGUUUUGAA